CCUACGGGAGGCAGCAGUCGAGAAUCUUUCACAAUGGGGGAAACCCUGAUGGAGCGACGCCGCGUGGGGGAAUGAAGGCCUUCGGAUUGUAAACCACUGUCAUGUGGGAGCAAAUUAACAAGAUAGUACCACAAGAGGAAGAGACGGCUAACCCUGUGACAGGAGCCGCGGGAAUACGGAGGUGUCAAGCGUUGUUAGGCACCACUGGGCGGAAAGGGUGCGUAGGCUGUUUCGUAAGUCGGGUGUGAAAGGCGCGGGCUCAACCCGCGGACGGCACAUGAUACUGCGAGACUAGAGUAAAGGAGAGGGAACCGGAAUUCUCGGUGUAGCAGUGAAAUGCGUAGAUAUCGAGAGGAACACUCGUGGCGAAGGCGGGUUCCUGGACAUUAACUGACGCUGAGGCACGAAGGCCAGGGGAGCGAAAGGGAUUAGAUACCCUUGUAGUC
rnacentral:rRNA from 1 species